rnacentral:rRNA from 1 species
UACGUAGGGUGCGAGCGUUUUCCGGAAUUAUUGGGCGUAAAGAGCUCGUAGGCGGUGUGUCACGUCGGCCGUGAAAACCUGCAGCUUAACUGUGGGCGUGCGGUCGAUACGGGCAUCACUGGAGUUCGGCAGGGGAGACUGGAAUUCCAGGUGUAGCGGUGAAAUGCGCAGAUAUCAGGAGGAACACCAAUAGCGAAGGCAGCUCGCUGGGACGGUACUGACGCUAAGGCGCGAAAGCGUGGGGAGCGAACAGG